rnacentral:rRNA from 1 species
AACGUAGGACGCAAGCGUUAUCCGGAGUUACUGGGCGUAAAGCGUGCGUAGGUGGUUCGUUAAGUCUGUCGUGAAAGCCCCGGGCUCAACCUGGGAAUGGCGAUGGAUACUGGCGGGCUAGAGUGCGGUAGAGGAGAGUGGAAUUCCCGGUGUAGCAGUGAAAUGCGUAGAUAUCGGGAAGAACACCCGUGGCGAAGGCGGCUCUCUGGGACGGUACUGACGCUGAGACGCGAAAGCGUGGGGAGCGAACAGG